GGAAAAGAAACUAACAAGGAUUCCCCUAGUAACGGCGAGUGAAGCGGGAUGAGCUCAAAUUUAAAAUCUGGCUGGUUUACUAGUCCGAAUUGUAGUUUAUAGAAGCGUUUUCGGUGGCAGCCUGGGUAUAAAUCCUUUGGAAUAGGGUAUCAUAGAGGGUGAGAAUCCCGUCUUUGACUCAGUGCAUGCUACUAUGUGAUACGUUUUCAAAGAGUCGAGUUGUUUGGGAAUGCAGCUCAAAAUGGGUGGUAAAUUUCAUCUAAGGCUAAAUAUUGGCGAGAGACCGAUAGCGAACAAGUACCGUGAGGGAAAGAUGAAAAGAACUUUGAAAAGAGAGUUAAACAGUGCGUGAAAUUGUUGAAAGGGAAACGCUUGACACCAGUUAUGCGGGUGGAAAAUCAGUCUUUUGCAAUGGGGAGUUGUGGGCGUUCAGACCGUAAGGCUGGCGUUUGCUUCAUCUUUGUUGUAAGUGAUGCACUUUUUCAUUUGCAGGUCAACAUCAGUUUGCUUUGCUGGACAAAACCCCAAGGGAAGGUGACAGCUUAGGCUGUGUUAUAGCCCUGGGGCGAUACAGUGGAGUGGACUGAGGUUUCGCAGUGUGUGCUCUCGGGCAAGGCUGACUGGGUGCUAUGGGAUCGUUCGGCGUACAAUGCAUGCAUUUUGCGUCGUGUCUUUUUCAUACUCGCUCAACUCGGCUCUUCCACGCUUAGGAUGUUGACUUAAUGGUUUUAAUCGACCCGUCUUGAAACACGGACCAAGGAGUCUAACAUAUAUGCAAGUGUUUGGGUGGCAAACCCAUGCGCGUAAUGAAAGUGAACGUAGGUGCCAUCCGCAAGGUGCAGCAUCGACCGAUCUUGAUAUUUUUGGAUAGAUUUGAGUAAGAGCAUAUAUGCUGGGACCCGAAAGAUGGUGAACUAUGCCUGAAUAGGGUGAAGCCAGAGGAAACUCUGGUGGAGGCUCGUAGCGAUUCUGACGUGCAAAUCGAUCGUCAAAUUUGG
rnacentral:rRNA from 1 species